GUGCCAGCAGCCGCGGUAAUACGGAGGGUACAAGCGUUAUUCGAAAUCAUUGGGUGCAAAGCGCGUGUAGGCGGUUUGGUUAGUCAGAUGUGAAAGCUCCGGGCUUAACCCGGAAAGUGCGUCUGAAACUGCCAGACUUGAGUGCGGGAGAGGAAGGUGGAAUUCCCAGUGUAGAGGUGAAAUUCGUAGAUAUUGGGAGGAACACCGGUGGCGAAGGCGACCUUCUGGACCGCCACUGACGCUGAGACGCGAAAGCGUGGGGAGCGAACAGGAUUAGAUACCCCGGUAGUCCACGCCGUAAACGAUGGGCACUAGGUGUAGGGGGUAUUGACCCCCCCUGUGCCGUAGCUAACGCAUUAAGUGCCCCACCUGGGUAGUACGGCCGCAAGGCUAAAACCUAAAGGAAUUGACGGGGCCCCGCACAAGCGGUGGAGCAUGUGGUUUAAUUCGAAGCAACGCGAAGAACCUUACCUGGGCUUGACAUCCCCUGACCGCCAUGGAAACAUGGUUUUCC
rnacentral:rRNA from 1 species